UACGGGGGGGGCAAGCGUUGUUCGGAAUUACUGGGCGUAAAGGGCUCGUAGGUGGCCAACUAAGUCAGACGUGAAAUCCCUCGGCUUAACCGGGGAACUGCGUCUGAUACUGGACGGCUUGAGUUUGGGAGAGGGACGCGGAAUCCAGGUGUAGCGGUGAAAUGCGUAGAUAUCUGGAGGAACACCGGUGGCGAAGGCGGCGUUCUGGACUGCAUCUGACACUGAAAGACGAAAGCCAGGGGAGCAAACGGG
rnacentral:rRNA from 1 species